rnacentral:misc_RNA from 1 species
GAUGAAGAACGCAGCGAAAUGCGAUAAGUAAUGUGAAUUGCAGAAUUCAGUGAAUCAUCGAGUCUUUGAACGCACAUUGCGCCCCCUGGUAUUCCGGGGGGCAUGCCUGUCCGAGCGUCAUUGCUGCCCUCAAGCACGGCUUGUGUGUUGGGCCUCCGUCCUCCUCCCGGGGGACGGGCCCGAAUGGCAGCGGCGGCACCGCGUCCGGUCCUCGAGCGUAUGGGGCUUCGUCACCCGCUCUUGUAGGCCCGGCCGGCGCUUGCCGACACAUCAAUCUUUUUUCCAGGUUGACCUCGGAUCAGGUAGGGAUACCCGCUGAACUUAAGCAUAUCAAUAAGCGGAGGA